rnacentral:lncRNA from 1 species
GAGAGAAGUGAUUAAUCAAUUCCUAGAGCAACAAAGUGAAGAGAGCAGCUAUUUAAGCAGCUUGGGUUUAUGUGAAUCGUCAGAGAGCAGGUUAAGAUUCCAGUUGCAUCUGAGCUGAAGUCUCUACAGAGUCUGCUAUUUUUGAUAGCAAUGUGGAGCAGCAACAAAAGAGGAAGCGUGGUGGGAGAAAGCCAAGAGUAUGUAGUAACAGCAGAAGACUCCCUUAAAGACUACACUCCAACGCCGGGUAAAAAUUGACUUGCAAUGAUUUAGGAAAAUAGAUAGGUUUUCAGGAGGCAACUGGGGAAAGGAGUUGCCAAAACAAAGACAAACCAAACCAACUACAUAUAAAGAGUGAAGUACUACUUUUCCAGAGGCACAGGAUUCAGCUAAUUCUAGAUAUGACUAGCAAUAUGAAGGAAAGGAUGAUCUUAGCUGCACCUGGAAGAUGCACUUUGAGGGUGAAAAAAUAAUUCAGUAGCCCAUAUUCACUCAGCCCAAAGAUCCUCUUGAUAGAAGAUUUCUAGUCAAAAU